rnacentral:sRNA from 1 species
GGUUGGUGGUGGUGCUACGGGUAUGAAUGAGGAGGAGGUGUGUUGGGAAGUGUGGACGGUUGAUGUUACGAUUGCGACGCCGCGGACGGAGUCGGAUCGCACCAAAGUCCGCAAAGCCAUGGAGAAAAUGCUACAGAACGCCGCGUUUAAGAUCGUUUCUGUCGUCAACAAGGACAAGGAUCACAUCCCGCCCAUUACCGCGAGCGAUGCCAAUCCAUUCCCAUAUCAGAUCGUCCUGAAUCCCAAGUUGGAUAAUUGGGGAAAUAAGUUCGGGCUUUAUUGAGGCCGUCCCUGCCCCGGCCUGCGAAUGCGAAUGCGAAUGCGAUGCGAUACGAUGCGAUACGAUGCGAUACGAUGCGAUACGAUGCGAUACGAUGCGAUACGAUGCGAUGGUUCGUUUCAACACACGAAAUUUGACCGAAAGACUGAUAUUUAUUUAAUUUAUUUCCCGCGCCCCUGUCGCGUGUAAACAUAAGCACCUCAUAUAUACCCGCUCUGACAUCUACGUCGCCCGAUUUUGUUGGAGCGGAGAGCUGUGGCGAGUAUUCAACACGCACCCGAGUACAAUAAGGGGAAGGGAGUUCCUUGCGUUGAAUGCCCCCGAAAGAAGAGUAGAAAAGCACUCUUCUGUUCCUUCCUGUUAUUCGAUCCCAGGAUAACAGUUGUUUUGCGAAUUAUAAUAAAUACCGGCAAAGAUAUUUCAUUCAGGGAUGAAGAGCAGUAUGUAUCUUGAUUCAGCAAAACACGGAUCGCCAAAAACGAAAGGGUGGAGAGAUAAAAAUAUUAUGCCUCAAAGAAAGGGAACAAAAAGACAGAAAAAAACAAAACUUGGUUACCCCGAACCUCCAGGAUCCCGGAUCCCGAAUUCACUUCGCCUCUUGCGCUCCACGCCAUAUCCCGUGACGUCAACAGCCGACGCUCCUCAAAACCAUCUAAACGAACGAUAACGAAAAUACAGAAAGACCAAAGUUUGCAGUUCUCAGUAUCCGUGGAGGUCGCUAUAUAUAGAGAACCAUACCAUGCACAAACAAAAGCCUUCCACUGUUACAAUUUUUUUGACAAAAACUUGAUCAUGUCUCAUAAAACUAACGGAAUUGAAUGAAGACUUGAAAAAAUCUGUCAAGGUGCCGAGGCAGGAGUUUAAUGGCAGGGUACGGCACACGAAAACAGAGAUUUUUUUUUUUAUUCUGUCGUCCAUUUCAACGUCUUUAGGACGAGUGGGAGUGGCCCUUGGCGGCUUGCUCUGCCUGGGAACGGAGGUUGGAGGCAGUGGAUCCACUGGUGAAAUACCGGGCAAAGAUUGGCUGGAGGAAGGAAUGGAAGACGAGUUGUGCGCCGCUAAAUGGUUUGAUCGGUAUGAGUUAGAAGGGUGGACGUGCAACGAGGUAGGGUACAUAUGUAUAGAUAUAUAUAGAUAUAUGGGGUAGAAAUGAGUACAUGCUUACCUGGUCUGGGGAAGAGCCAUCCACAGAAUAAGAACAAAUUUGAAAAGAUAGUAGAAUGGAAACCAAUAGGCAGCACUGAUAGCGCUCUCGACAACAGUGAAACAGGCAUAGACAACCCAGUACGUCAACCACUGAGUAUCAUCUGUCUUUGUGGUUGUAAACAAAGCCUGGAGAGAGUAGUAUCCAGGAACAAGAAAGCCUGCGAGGUUGACCAGGAAAGCUCCACCAAUGUUGAAGAAAAUCAGGAAAAAGUAGAUGCCGACCAGGCCGAGAAAGGCAUAGACCUUUGGAACUGAUGUCUGCCUUUCGAGAUUGUUCAGGACCGGGUAUUUGGAAAGCUCCUUAUCGAUCUGAGCGAUCUGGUGAUGGACACGAUCUUGGAAGGACAUGAUAAAUGCGGUGUGUGUCGGUUAGAACAGCUCAAAAGCCCGCGGAGUGGCUAGUACAGGCUGAACCGCCGGGUUAGAUGGAAGUAAAAGACGUCAAUUCGUAAAUGAAGCAGAGGAGUGGUUGACAGCAGCAAUAUGUAACUCACAAACAGACGGUUGAAGAACAGGAACAGAUUGGAAGUUGGCAGAUUGGAGCCUUGGAUG